rnacentral:rRNA from 1 species
UACGUAGGGUGCGAGCGUUGUCCGGAUUUAUUGGGCGUAAAGAGCUCGUAGGCGGUUUGUCGCGUCGGCCGUGAAAUCUCCACGCUUAACGUGGAGCGUGCGGUCGAUACGGGCAGACUUGAGUUCGGUAGGGGAGACUGGAAUUCCUGGUGUAGCGGUGAAAUGCGUAGAUAUCCGGAGGAACACCGGUGGCGAAGGCGGCUUCCUGGACCGAUACUGACGCUGAGGAGCGAAAGCGUGGGGAGCGAACAGG